rnacentral:rRNA from 1 species
CAGGAUGAACGCUAGCGGCAGGCUUAACACAUGCAAGUCGAGGGGCGAGCGGGAUGUAGCAAUACAUUGCCGGCGACCGGCGGAUGGGUGCGUAACGCGUAUGCAACCUACCUUAUACAGGGGAAUAACCUUUCGAAAGGGAGACUAACACCCCAUAGUAUUGAUUUAAGGCAUCUUAGAUUAAUUAAAUAUUUAUAGGUAUAAGAUGGGCAUGCGUAUGAUUAGCUAGUUGGUAAGGUAACGGCUUACCAAGGCGACGAUCAUUAGGGGUUCUGAGAGGAAGGUCCCCCACACUGGUACUGAGACACGGACCAGACUCCUACGGGAGGCAGCAGUGAGGAAUAUUGGUCAAUGGGCGCAAGCCUGAACCAGCCAUGCCGCGUGCAAGGAAGACGGCCUUAUGGGUUGUAAACUGCUUUUACAUAAGACUAACCGUAUAUUUGCGAAUAUACCUGAAUGUAUUAUGAGAAUAAGGAUCGGCUAACUCCGUGCCAGCCGCCGC